GUGUGUGCGUGUGAUUGUGUGUGUGUGUGUGUGUGUGUGUGUGUGUGUGUGUGUGAUUGUGUGUUUGAAUAUGUUAGUUGAAAUUUGAUCAUCAGCAUUAAAAUUCACAUUGCUGGCAUUCACAUUGACAGGGGUGAUGAUGUGGUGGAAAUGGUGAGUUGACAGCAGACUGGUCCUUGACAUGAAGUCGACAGUGAUGAGUUUAAUAAACUGAGUCUAGUAAAUUGAACAUCGACAUGGAGACAGCCAACAUCAUAAAUAAACCAAAUUGAAAUCAUACUGCACUAACUUAAUAACUUUGGUCUGAUUUAUAGUAUCUUCCCUUCCCAUCAAUAAGUUCUGAUUAUUAGAACUAAUCUAAAGUAUAGAAGCAAAAGCAACUAAGUACUGUGUGACAAAAAGUGAAAACACUGGAACAGAGCUCUUAUCACAUCCUAUUCUCUUCCAGUGUUCUCAACACAUUAGUCGCUGACAUUGCUCACUGAUCUCCAUAAAACUGGCAGCCUUUUGAGGUCAACAACUCUGGUGUAUGUUUGUGUGUGUGGAAGCCAUCACACAUUUAUGUCUUUACUGUUCUCUAUAUGUGGGGUCAUCAAAAACUUCACGGUAAUCUCCCCAGAGACCUUUAUGUAUUUAGUGUCUGGGUGUGUGUGCGUGUGUGUGUGUGUGUGUGUGUGUGUGUGUGUGUGUGUGUGUGUGUGUGUUUGUGUGUGUGUGUGUGUGAGUGUGUGUGUGUGUGUGUGUGCGUGUGUGUGUUGAUGAAGGACCCCUGUCUGUGCUGGCCAAAGGAUUGUGUGGUUUUCUUUUUGACCUCCCUUGUACCCUUCCCUCAGGGGCAAGUGAUCCAAUCAGAGGAUAAGCCUAUUUCCAGACCCUCCCCCUGGGAGCGAGAAAGAUCCAAUCAGAUAAGGGUUCAUCUCAGAUCAGAAUCAACAGGGGAGGUGGAUGAGGGACCACACAGACACACAGCCAUUAAAAGUGAGAGCAAAGAAACAGACAAACACACAAAACAUAUAGACAUGUUGACACAAAUAGCGUAAAGAGAAGCCUUAAUGGAUUUUACUUGAGUAAUCCACUUUCCCUUCUCUCAACACGCUCAGCAUGUGGAGGCUGGGUGUUUGAGACUGCAGGGGAGCCCCUCUGUGAUAAUUCAGGGCAACUGCUUCUGCAAGUGGGAUAGCAAACCCAUUCAAAUGACAGAAAUAAGAAAACACUCAGCCUGAUGAAAACAAACAAAAAAUCAGAAUGCAGCCUUCUCGGCUGGAACAUACAAACAGAGGAGAGGCUGAAUGCUGCGGGGAUGAUACUUAUACCCAGACGUUGUAACGUUUAUUUGCCUUUUCUUUAAAAGUCUAUCCCAAAUUUCCCUUUGUCUUUUUAUGAUUAGCAUUUCCUCCUUUACCUAAACAUCUCCCAUUGUGUUCCUCUUGCAUCCAGCAGGUUGUACACACAGCGUGUGUGUGCAUGUGUGUGUGUGUGUGUGUGUGUGUGUGUGUGUGUGUGAGUGAGUGGGCCGUGGACCUGUCUGUGUCUUUGUGAGCCUCGUGGUGCAACUGUCGCCAAUAUCACUUUCAUCUGGGCGUGCUACUCUUCCCUCUAUCUAGCGCUUUGAAGAUGCACCAGAGACUUUAAUUCCUUUUUUCCCUCACAGUGUCAGCCAAAUUUGUACACAAGCGCACAAACACACCCAAACGUUCGGCGCCGAAAAGCUUCAAUUUUCAUCCAUCUUCUCCACCCCCCCAAAAGGAGCAGUUGUGAUCUAUGAAGCAUCUCCUUCUGUUUAAUUGUUUCGUUGGCCAGAGGAGGUGGUGAUUAUGCAUGCUACAACAUGCCUAAGUGAUUGUCUUUGUGCACAUCAAUAUUUGUGUGGGUGAAAAUAUGUGUGUGUGUGUGUGUGUGUGUGUGUGUGUGUGUGUGUGUGUGUGUGUGUGUGUGUGUGUGUGAGAAAGAGAGAGGGAGAGAGAGAGAAAGAGUUGUUGCUGUUGGGGGCUUUUACUUCUCUGUCCACACUGUGUCUGCUUCCUGUCAAACAACUGCACAUCCCCCAGAUGUUUUUGGAUCUACAGGCUCAUUUUAUAAGACUGUGGCUGCUCGCCAUUUAGUGUUAAUGUGUAAUUGCAUGCCUGUGUGUGUGUGUGUGUGUGUGUGUGUUUUACAUUGCUAAGGGCAACACAUGUCCUUUAUCACUGUCAAAAUGCCAAAUAAGUUAUCAACACCACCACGCCUGCUGCUGUGACAUCUAUGCCCACACGCACACGCACACACAAAACAAGUGAGCAGGCCGACACUAUUGCUCAGACCAGGGGCGUGCAGAGGAUCUUAGAGGGGCAGGGGCCCAAAUUCAUAUCGUAUCAGGCAAUUUUUGUUGUCACAAAGCAGUCAUUCUUUUUCACGGUGCUUGCUGCAACGGCGGGGAAUCAGGAGAUGGAGACAGUUGAGAGCAUCGCACAGGAGCAACAAUCUCCCGAAAUGAUGUUUGGAUUUUUUUAUUUUUCUUUAUAUUUAUUGGCAGCAGGGGCAGACUGUGUGCAAACAAGAAUUUAUUUAUUUAUUUGAAAAUGCAGCAAUGAUGGAGCAGCCAAAGCACAGGAUGACACCAGGACAUUCGGGAAACUAGAGCGGAGGAGAGUUUGUCUUUGUGUGAGUCUCAACAUCUAUCAUAUAACAUCGUCCUUGACAAACUCUGUUGUUAGUUUUACUCAUCUUUGGCUCUUCCUUUUCACAUAUAUUUAACAGUAAAAUGCAUUCAUGCAGCUACAUAUUUUAGUAUCCUUUCUAAGCACACACACACGCACGCAUAGAAGACACAAGCACACAGCCUGGAAACAUCUGUAAUGGAGGGGUCUUCACCUCUUCACUUACACACAUUCUCUCCUCUUUCUUGGCAAA